rnacentral:rRNA from 1 species
GGAGGGAGCUGCCGAAGGCAGGUUCGAUAACUGGGGUGAAGUCGUAACAAGGUAGCCGUAUCGGAAGGUGCGGCUGGAUCACCUCCUUUCUAAGGAA